AUUGAACGCUGGCGGCAGGCCUAACACAUGCAAGUCGAGCGAGCGGCGGACGGGUGAGUAAUGCCUAGGAAUCUGCCUGAUGGAGGGGGAUAACUACUGGAAACGGUAGCUAAUACCGCAUACCAUCGGAUGAGCCUAGGUGGGAUUAGCUAGUUGGUGGGGUAACGGCGUACCUAGGCGACGCUCCCUAGCUGGUCUGAGAGGAUGACCAGCCACACUGGAACUGAGACACGGUCCAGACUCCGACGGUAGGCAGCAGUGGGGAAUAGUGCACAAGGGGCGCAAGCCUGAUGCAGCCAUGCCGCGUGUAUGAAGAAGGCCGUCGGGUUGUAAAGUACUUUCAGCGGGGAGGCGUUACCCGCAGAAGAAGCACCGGCUAACUCCGUGCCAGCAGCCGCGGUAAUAC
rnacentral:rRNA from 1 species